rnacentral:lncRNA from 1 species
GGAUCAUCUCGUAAGGUGCUUUGAUCCUGACACUCGUUUCCACCGGAUCGACGGCGUUGGCAAUCACGCGUCGGAACCGCUGCGCCCGGUGCCUUCCUCUCCGUCUCGUCCGACGCUUGGGGCCUCCGCUCGUUCGCGGCUGCACUGCGCCCUACCCUGCCUAGGUGCCGGAAGGGCGUGUUGUGGUUGCCGCUGUUAGUUGCUGCACCGAGAGGUUUCCGUCGCCUGCUACGGCCAGAUCUAGUCGAACAUGUCCUAUGGGUUAUCCACCGCUUCACUCUGCUUCACGUGCACAUGGGCGGAGGAGGCAACGACCCGACCUGCCCAGUAGCUAAACAAUGCCUCCCUGACCCGCUCUUCUCCAGCAACAGUCUCCCUUAUGGGGUAAUGAAUCUCAAGCCAUGCUUUUUUUCCUUUACAUGAACAACAAACCUACGUAUAUGUCAUACCUGACAUGUUUGGUGGGCUACUGUUGUCCGAUUGCUGGCUGUGCUGCUGCUUGUGGAUCCUUCUAGUUGUUUAGCUUCCACUAAAUGUCAACAUGUUUCAGAUUUCCUCUUCUCUUUUUCAAUU